ensembl:ncRNA lncRNA:CR44519 long non-coding RNA:CR44519
GCUCGUAUUCUGUGUAUUUUUCCAUUUCGUAUAGAUUUUUAAUUUAAAACAACCUGGCCGAAGGUAAGCCUGAGCACCUGUGACCAGGAAAAUGCCCUCGAAAGGCCAUUAGUUGUUUGUCCUGGACCCAGCCUAAUGUCCUCUUGUCAAAGUCCAACCUCAGACAGAGGCAGGACACUCACACUUGCAGCACAGGGACACUGAGCGGAAAUUCUACAAACAUUAUCAAUUAUUUGAUUUAAUAAAAGAUAGAAUGAGAAAACUAUGUAAAAGCCAGUUUUAUUAGAGUUUGAUGGAAUUGUUAAAUAAACCUAUAUAGAUAUUAAAGUGACGAUGCCUUUGAUAAGUAUGCAUAAUAAUAAUGGAAU